rnacentral:lncRNA from 1 species
AAGAUGGUAAACUUAGCACUUCCUGGGAGGCAACCUAGUUUUUAAUUUUUAGUUUUGUACUUUUUGCUAUUUUUUGUAUUUUGUUUAGGUCAAUCAAGUCUUACUUAGUAUCUUUUGUAGGGAUCUGAAGAUAAUCUUGACUAAGUUGGGGGAAGAACUAAUUUUGAAAAGACUUCUGGAUCAGGUGACAUCUCUCUUUUUUCUCUUUGCAUGCACCCUUCAUUUUUCCUACUCCAUUGAGGAC